GUUAUUAUCUUCACUUUCAUCAGCUUUUGACUAAUUGGGCUCAAAGUUGACUUAUCUUCCUUCUAGAUGAGUUAGGCUUUGGAUUCAUCUUAUGUCCCAAUCUUUCUUUUUUGACAUUUAUGCCUUUUAUCCUGAACUUACAGCAUAAAUUCACCAAGAGAACCAAUAGCUACAGGAUCCAGUGCAAUCUUGAUCUUAAGGGUGGAGCAGAAGGUACUAUUUUGAUUUGAGACUGCAUAAAUCUUUUACGGAAGACAAUUUUGUUCGAAUCAGUAAGAACAGAAGGACAAAACUUGUUUUUAUGUUUAGUAUUUAACGUAACUACAUAAGACUUGAAUUUAACACCACUCAUUAAGCUGAACAUUUUUCAUAUUAUUUUAUCUAUUCACUUAGCAGCCAAAAUGCUCUCUAAUGCAAGAUGUUUUUUUUUUGUUCUCAUUCAAUUCCUUAUAUUUCGCUGCUGCCUGUUGUGAGCAAUAUUGUUUUGAAAGUAACAUUUUCGUUCACAUGGAAAGUGACUUCUUGAUCGUACAAGUAGAUUGAAAUGUGAAACAAUCGAUUGACCUUAGAACUCCAAUGUCAUUGCAGAUCAAACUUUAAAAAGAAGGAAAUAGUGUGAAAACAAAUGAGCCAGCACUUUAUUUUGGUACCAGAUUUGCCGGCGAAACACCAUCAUAUGAAAUUCAAAUCACAUCCUCAAAUGCAUGGUCUAUUUCUUUUCUAAUCCUAUAUGUACCAACAACCAUUAUUAAUCUAUACAGCUAUACUUAUUCGAGGGAAAUAGGUCAUAUGGAUUAAACAAUACUAUUUUGUUCUGUCAUGAAACAAUAAAG
rnacentral:sRNA from 1 species